GUGAUUGCUUCAGCGGCACAUAUGCUAAUAUUGGAAUAAUACAAAGAAGCUUAGCAUGGCCCCUGUACAAGGAUAGCAUGCAAAAUUCAUGAAGCGUUCCAUAUUUUU
rnacentral:snRNA from 1 species